rnacentral:lncRNA from 1 species
GAGCUGGCAGAGAAUGGCUACUCCUCGACAGCAGACACAGGUGGCACAGGAGCGGGUACCGGGGAGGAAGACAAUACGACCGGGUCGCCCCCCUCCACCUGCAGAAAGGACAGUGUCCGCACCUGGGAUGAACGGGAGCCCAUCACAGCGCACUUUGGACAGGCAGCGACAACAACUACCACCAGUGGCUAUUCACUGUCAAGGUAGGUCUGACUAUGCGCUGUGGAUAUGUCCCAUCUUUCAGACUGUUCUCUCAGACAUACAGGAUGACCAGGAUCACAUUACAUUGACUGGCGGGACUAAUCCACGCACACUCAUUAUCCU